CUACAGCACUGAAAUCAUGACACUCUACGUGAAUGCAAUCAGUAUUAUUUCUGCUUAAAUACAAUUGUAGUGGGGAAAGGAAGGAGAUUGCAAGAACUUCAGCAAAUGACAAAGCCAGCCAGAUGGAGUACUGUGGGUUGUACUGCAGAGCACACUGCAGAGAUUUGGAUCUAACAUUUGGGUAAACAGAAGUAGCAAGAUGAUCUGAAGUAACACCAUCUGGUGAAUGCCUGUUUCCCUCUUCAGCAAUCAAGAAC
rnacentral:lncRNA from 1 species